CAUGUUGUAAUUCAACUGAGACAUUGGUCUUAACUCUUAACUGAUAAAUCCAAGUACAGUUUUUUGUAAUUCCUUGUGCAGACUCUAGGGUAUGCCCCUCUAACAUAUCAGGAUUCCAACCUGGAGAAGUAUUCAUGAUACGUAACAUCGCCAAUCUUGUACCUGUGAUGAAGAAUGGAUCAUUAGAGUGUAAUGUUGCUCUUGAGUUUGCAGUAACUACUCUUGAGGUGAAUAAGGUGCUUCAGUUGGGCUGGUCUGCUUCAAAUUUUUAUUUUGGGGUCAGAUGUUAAUUCUUCAGGUAUCAUCUUUGUAACAUGCCAUAAAUUUAUAAUGCAUGUUUUUGCAAUUUACUUGCUCAUUGAUGAAUGCUUUGAUUUAAGCUUGAAUAUGCUUGUAAAUUGAGGAUUCAUUUACUGAACUGCUACUUAUUGGUUGUUUAUUGUGUUUGUGUUAGAAACAUGGAUGUGCCUGAAAAUAAG